GGUCUCGUAGUUCAGUUGGUUAGAUCGUUGGUUGUACUAAAGCCUUCCCCUUGCUGGCGUGGGUUCGAAUCCCACUGAGGCCG
rnacentral:tRNA from 1 species